UGGAGCGUGGCCGAGUGGUAAGGCACCGGGUUUUGAGCCCGGCAUAUCGAAGGUUCGAUCCCUUUCGUUCCAA
rnacentral:tRNA from 1 species